GAUGAAGAACGCAGCGAAAUGCGAUAAGUAAUGUGAAUUGCAGAAUUCAGUGAAUCAUCGAAUCUUUGAACGCACAUUGCGCCCGCCAGUAUACUGGCGGGCAUGCCUGUUCGAGCGUCAUUUCAACCAUCAAGCCCCAGGCUUGUGUUGGAGCCCUGCGGCUGCCGCAGCCUCCCAAAACCAGUGGCGGGCUCGCUAUCACACCGAGUGCAGUAGUUUACUCUUCGCUCAGGGCGUGUGGCGGGUGCUAGCCGUAAAACCCCCAACUUCUCAAGGUUGACCUCGGAUCAGGUAGGAAUACCCGCUGAACUUAAGCAUAUCAAUAAGCGGAGGA
rnacentral:misc_RNA from 1 species